GAUGAAGAACGUAGCGAAAUGCGAUACGUAAUGUGAAUUGCAGAAUUCAGUGAAUCAUCGAAUCUUUGAACGCACAUUGCGCCCGCCAGUAUUCUGGCGGGCAUGCCUGUUCGAGCGUCAUUUCAACCAUCAAGCCCCCGGGCCUGUGUUGGGGACCUGCGGCUGCCCGCAGGCCCCGAAAACCAGUGGCGGGCUCGCUGUCACCCCGAGCGUAGUAGCAACACCUCGCCCAGGGAGUGCCGCGGGCACCGGCCGUAAAACCUCCUCUCGCCCCCCCCCGCGGGAGGGAACACCCCAAAGGUUGACCUCGGAUCAGGUAGGAAGACCCGCUGAACUUAAGCAUGUCAAUAAGCGGAGGA
rnacentral:misc_RNA from 1 species